UGCCCAUUGGCCCAGUGGUAAAGGCGUCUGACUGUUAGUUACUAGCUUCUAGCAAGCAAAACAGCGAAAUCAGAAGAUCCCUGGUUCGACCCCAGGAUGGGCAG